rnacentral:tRNA from 1 species
GGGCCACUAGCUCAAUUGGCAGAGCGUCGGACUUUUAAUCCGCUGGUUCUGGGUUCGAGUCCCAGGUGGCCCACCA